UACGUAGGUGGCAAGCGUUGUCCGGAAUUAUUGGGCGUAAAGCGCGCGCAGGCGGUCCUUUAAGUCUGAUGUGAAAGCCCACGGCUCAACCGUGGAAGGUCAUUGGAAACUGGAGGACUUGAGUACAGAAGAGGAAAGCGGAAUUCCACGUGUAGCGGUGAAAUGCGUAGAGAUGUGGAGGAACACCAGUGGCGAAGGCGGCUUUCUGGUCUGUACUGACGCUGAGGAGCGAAAGCGUGGGGAGCGAACAGG
rnacentral:rRNA from 1 species